rnacentral:rRNA from 1 species
UUUAGCAGAGAUGCUUUAGUGCCUUCGGGAACUCUGAGACAGGUGCUGCAUGGCUGUCGUCAGCUCGUGUUGUGAAAUGUUGGGUUAAGUCCCGCAACGAGCGCAACCCUUAUCCUUUGUUGCCAGCACGUAAUGGUGGGAACUCAAAGGAGACUGCCGGUGAUAAACCGGAGGAAGGUGGGGAUGACGUCAAGUCAUCAUGGCCCUUACGAGUAGGGCUACACACGUGCUACAAUGGCGCAUACAAAGAGAAGCGAUCUCGCGAGAGCAAGCGGACCUCAUAAAGUGCGUCGUAGUCCGGAUUGGAGUCUGCAACUCGACUCCAUGAAGUCGGAAUCGCUAGUAAUCGUAAAUCAGAAUGUUACGGUGAAUACGUUCCCGGGCCUUGUACACACCGCCCGUCACACCAUGGGAGUGGGUUGCAAAAGAAGUAGAUAGCUUAACCUUCGGGAGGGCGUUUACCACUUUGUGAUUCAUGACUGGGGUGAAGUCGUAACAAGGUAGGCGUAGUGCU